CAAUAGCGUAUAUUAAAGUUGUUGCAGUUAAAAAGCUCGUAGUUGGAUUUGUGGCGUACGAUGUGUUCCGGGCACUUGUUGUCUGAGUAACCUGCUGUUGCCAUCCUUGGGUGGAACCUGUGUGGCAUUAGGUUGUCGUGCAGGGGAUGCCCAUCAUUUACUGUGAAAAAAUUAGAGUGUUCAAAGCAGGCUUAUGCCGUUGAAUAUAUUAGCAUGGAAUAAUGAGAUAGGACUUUUUUGCUAUUUUGUUGGUUUGCGCAAAGAGGUAAUGAUUAAUAGGGACAGUUGGGGGUAUUCGUAUUCCAUUGUCAGAGGUGAAAUUCUUGGGUUUUUGGAAGACGAACUACUGCGAAAGCAUUUACCAAGGAUGUUUUCAUUAA
rnacentral:rRNA from 1 species